rnacentral:rRNA from 1 species
UACGUAGGUGGCGAGCGUUGUCCGGAUUUACUGGGCGUAAAGAGCGCGCAGGCGGUCGGAUCAGUCGAAUGUGAAAGCCCCCGGCUUAACUGGGGAGGGUCAUUCGAUACUGUUCGACUCGAAGGCAGGAGAGGGAAGUGGAAUUCCAGGUGUAGCGGUGAAAUGCGUAGAUAUCUGGAGGAACACCGGUGGCGAAGGCGGCUCUCUGGACCGUAACUGACGCUGAGGCGCGAAAGCGUGGGGAGCAAACAGG